ACACUGAAAAAAGUGAUUUUGGAGAGUGGUAAAUAUAAUCUGUGGAAACCAUAUAAAAUUUACAUGAUUAUUGCAGCCAGCCAACGAAUUCUAAAGUAAUGGGUAAAUUCUACAUAUGCUACCCAUUCGUCAACAGUAAGAACCAUCACAUAGAAAAUGCAGUAAAAUAUACCCCCAAACCGUGAGUUUUGUUGCUUUAAAUUGCGCAUGCGUCAGCCCGCGUUUUUGAGUGAGUGUGGGCGACGCUGGAUCCUCUCUCUGGCUGCCAUCGAACAGCAGAAGUGAAGGCAGAGUCUGUGUAUGUGGACACUCACUAUUUGCCCUCUCUUCAGUUCCUCUUGUCUGUCCUCCACAAGCAGAGACUCACUGAUAGACCACUGUUACCAGUUUUAGUGUUGACACAUCCACCCACGUCCCCACCACAAGUGUAUCCUGUACAGACACAGAACAUUGAGAAAAAAAGAGAUGCUGUUGUCUGCUGCCUCAUUAACUACCUCGGUGAAAGACAAGAAGAUCUUUUCCAUGACAGCCAGGAAUGUGAGGACUACACAGACAAAACGAUGAAGGUGAUUGUGAAGCACAAUGUCAUGGCUGAGGAGGAUCCAUCAGAUUUGUCUAUUGUGAUCGAGGGAAACCAAGUGAUGGAAGGAUGUGGAAGCCGAACAAAGGCAUGCAUACUGCUGUUGGGACUCAUUUAUGCAAUCAACAUCGAAUAUCCAAAGGAGCUGAAGAACACGUUUGAAGCUUUUCAAAAACUUUUUUUGGAAAUUGACGGGACAAAACUACUGAAAAAGGUCCACAGCCUCAAAAAUAAGCUCAUGCAGUAGACACACAUUUCCCCUGUUGUUCGAAGAGGAUCUUUUGUCUGGACAGACUUUUAAUGGAGUUGUAAUGGAGUGUAGUGUUUAUAUUUUUCUUCUUGUCCCUUAUUUGCUCCACACACAGACACAGAUCCAUCCACUCUCUCUCAGCCCACUCCAUUGCUCUGUGAUUUCGCCCAGAUUGACAGAAAAGGAAUACCAAUAGAAAGUGGCCUGAAGAAUUUUGAUCUCUCCUUCUACCCUCUUUCCCCCCCAUUUGAGAGUGAGAGCAAGCUCAAACUAAAGAAUGUUGGUGUUCUGUUUUAUCUUUAUCCAGAUACUUGAUACUGUACAUGCACAGAACCAACCAUGUGGAGUUUGUGUGUGCUUUUGAUUUUUAAAAUAGAAUAAGUGGCAUGUGUUGUUUGCAGUAGCCAAUUAUCCAGAAACAACAUUUGAAACUGUUAUCUUAGUGAGUUUUGAUUUGUGACCAGAUUUGGUCAGUCACUGUUGUGUAAAUCUGAAGAGACACAAAGAGUUUAGUCUAAGAGUUUAGAUACAAGAAAAUCUUAAUGUGAUUGGACAUCCAGCACUGCUCUGAUCUCCUCACUUCUCCUUUCAUUUUCUCUUCUCCCUUCUCUCCUCACUUCUCUUUUCCGCUCUGAUCUGGAUGUCCUAAAACAGGGAUAUGUUUCAUUAUCCAACAUUAUUGAAACAACAUUUGAUAGAUCAGUGGGUUAUAAAACAGGUUCAUUACUUGACAUGUUGUGUAAAGCUGUUGUGCUGCACUAUAUUUUGAGUGUUUCAUAGGAUUUUUUGGAUUAAAAACAUUGAUCUGAUGAA